rnacentral:rRNA from 1 species
AUACGUAGGUGGCAAGCGUUGUCCGGAUUUACUGGGUGUAAAGGGCGAGUAGGCGGGACUGCAAGUCAGGUGUGAAAUGCGGAGGCUCAACCUCCGACUUGCAUUUGAAACUGUGGUUCUUGAGUGAUGGAGAGGCAGGCGGAAUUCCCGGUGUAGCGGUGGAAUGCGUAGAUAUCGGGAGGAACACCAGUGGCGAAGGCGGCCUGCUGGACAUUAACUGACGCUGAGGAGACGAAAGCGGUGGGGAGAC